rnacentral:tRNA from 1 species
ACACUUGUGUUUUAGUUGUUAAAUUCUUGCCUUCAAUGCCAGAGACCCAGGUUCAAUUCCUGGCCAGUGCA